CUGAAAUCACAGGACACACCGGUGACCCAGAUCCUCGACGAGAUGAGACCCCCAUCAUCGCUGUAAUGGUGGCCCUUUCCUCCUUGCUCAUCAUAGUAUUUAUUAUUAUUGUCCUCUACAUGU